rnacentral:rRNA from 1 species
UUAAGCGACUAAGCGUACACGGUGGAUGCCCUGGCAGUCAGAGGCGAUGAAGGGCGUGCUAAUCUGCGAUAAGCGCCGGUAAGGUGAUAUGAACCGUUAUAACCGGCGAUACCCGAAUGGGGAAACCCAGUGUGAUUCGUCACACUAUCAUUAACUGAAUCCAUAGGUUAAUGAGGCGAACCGGGGGAACUGAAACAUCUAAGUACCCCGAGGAAAAGAAAUCAACCGAGAUUCCCCCAGUAGCGGCGAGCGAACGGGGAGGAGCCCAGAGCCUGAAUCAGCAUGUGUGUUAGUGGAAGCGUCUGGAAAGGCGCGCGAUACAGGGUGACAGCCCCGUACACAAAAGCGCAUGUGCUGUGAGCUCGAUGAGUAGGGCGGGACACGUGGUAUCCUGUCUGAAUAUGGGGGGACCAUCCUCCAAGGCUAAAUACUCCUGACUGACCGAUAGUGAACCAGUACCGUGAGGGAAAGGCGAAAAGAACCCCGGCGAGGGGAGUGAAAAAGAACCUGAAACCGUGUACGUACAAGCAGUGGGAGCACAGGUUUACCUGUGUGACUGCGUACCUUUUGUAUAAUGGGUCAGCGACUUAUAUUCUGUAGCAAGGUUAACCGCAUAGGGGAGCCGGAGGGAAACCGAGUCUUAAUUGGGCGUUAAGUUGCAGGGUAUAGACCCGAAACCCGGUGAUCUAGCCAUGGGCAGGUUGAAGGUUGGGUAACACUAACUGGAGGACCGAACCGACUAAUGUUGAAAAAUUAGCGGAUGACCUGUGGCUGGGGGUGAAAGGCCAAUCAAACCGGGAGAUAGCUGGUUCUCCCGAAAGCUAUUUAGGUAGCGCCUCGUGAAUUCAUCUCCGGGGGUAGAGCACUGUUUCGGCUAGGGGGCCAUCCCGGCUUACCAACCCGAUGCAAACUGCGAAUACCGGAGAAUGUUAUCACGGGAGACACACGGCGGGUGCUAACGUCCGUCGUGAAGAGGGAAACAACCCAGACCGCCAGCUAAGGUCCCAAAGUCAUGGUUAAGUGGGAAACGAUGUGGGAAGGCCCAGACAGCCAGGAUGUUGGCUUAGAAGCAGCCAUCAUUUAAAGAAAGCGUAAUAGCUCACUGGUCGAGUCGGCCUGCGCGGAAGAUGUAACGGGGCUAAACCAUGCACCGAAGCUGCGGCAGCGACACUGUGUGUUGUUGGGUAGGGGAGCGUUCUGUAAGCCUGUGAAGGUGGCCUGUGAGGGUUGCUGGAGGUAUCAGAAGUGCGAAUGCUGACAUAAGUAACGAUAAAGCGGAUGAAAAGCCCGCUCGCCGGAAGACCAAGGGUUCCUGUCCAACGUUAAUCGGGGCAGGGUGAGUCGACCCCUAAGGCGAGGCCGAAAGGCGUAGUCGAUGGGAAACGGGUUAAUAUUCCCGUACUUGGUGUUACUGCGAAGGGGGGACGGAGAAGGCUAUGUUGGCCGGGCGACGGUUGUCCCGGUUUAAGCGUGUAGGUGUGUGUUCCAGGUAAAUCCGGUUCACUUUAACACUGAGGCGUGACGACGAGGCACUACGGUGCUGAAGCAACAAAUGCCCUGCUUCCAGGAAAAGCCUCUAAGCAUCAGGUAACAUCAAAUCGUACCCCAAACCGACACAGGUGGUCAGGUAGAGAAUACCAAGGCGCUUGAGAGAACUCGGGUGAAGGAACUAGGCAAAAUGGUGCCGUAACUUCGGGAGAAGGCACGCUGACACGUAGGUGAAGUGAUUUACUCACGGAGCUGAAGUCAGUCGAAGAUACCAGCUGGCUGCAACUGUUUAUUAAAAACACAGCACUGUGCAAACACGAAAGUGGACGUAUACGGUGUGACGCCUGCCCGGUGCCGGAAGGUUAAUUGAUGGGGUCAGCGCAAGCGAAGCUCCUGAUCGAAGCCCGGUAAACGGCGGCCGUAACUAUAACGGUCCUAAGGUAGCGAAAUUCCUUGUCGGGUAAGUUCCGACCUGCACGAAUGGCGUAAUGAUGGCCAGGCUGUCUCCACCCGAGACUCAGUGAAAUUGAACUCGCUGUGAAGAUGCAGUGUACCCGCGGCAAGACGGAAAGACCCCGUGAACCUUUACUAUAGCUUGACACUGAACAUUGAGCCUUGAUGUGUAGGAUAGGUGGGAGGCUUUGAAGUGUGGACGCCAGUCUGCAUGGAGCCGACCUUGAAAUACCACCCUUUAAUGUUUGAUGUUCUAACGUGGACCCGUAAUCCGGGUUGCGGACAGUGUCUGGUGGGUAGUUUGACUGGGGCGGUCUCCUCCUAAAGAGUAACGGAGGAGCACGAAGGUUGGCUAAUCCUGGUCGGACAUCAGGAGGUUAGUGCAAUGGCAUAAGCCAGCUUGACUGCGAGCGUGACGGCGCGAGCAGGUGCGAAAGCAGGUCAUAGUGAUCCGGUGGUUCUGAAUGGAAGGGCCAUCGCUCAACGGAUAAAAGGUACUCCGGGGAUAACAGGCUGAUACCGCCCAAGAGUUCAUAUCGACGGCGGUGUUUGGCACCUCGAUGUCGGCUCAUCACAUCCUGGGGCUGAAGUAGGUCCCAAGGGUAUGGCUGUUCGCCAUUUAAAGUGGUACGCGAGCUGGGUUUAGAACGUCGUGAGACAGUUCGGUCCCUAUCUGCCGUGGGCGCUGGAGAACUGAGGGGGGCUGCUCCUAGUACGAGAGGACCGGAGUGGACGCAUCACUGGUGUUCGGGUUGUCAUGCCAAUGGCACUGCCCGGUAGCUAAAUGCGGAAGAGAUAAGUGCUGAAAGCAUCUAAGCACGAAACUUGCCCCGAGAUGAGUUCUCCCUGAGACUUAGAGUCUCCUGAAGGAACGUUGAAGACGACGACGUUGAUAGGCCGGGUGUGUAAGCGCAGCGAUGCGUUGAGCUAACCGGUACUAAUGAACCGUGAGGCUUAACCUU